UACGGAGGGUGCAAGCGUUAUCCGGAUUUACUGGGUUUAAAGGGUGUGUAGGCGGGCUUUUAAGUCAGUGGUGAAAUCUCCGGGCUCAACCCGGAAACUGCCAUUGAUACUAUUAGUCUUGAAUUUUGUUGAGGUAGGCGGAAUAAGUCAUGUAGCGGUGAAAUGCAUAGAUAUGACUUAGAACACCGAUUGCGAAGGCAGCUUACUAAACAGACAUUGACGCUGAGGCACGAAAGCGUGGGGAUCAAACAGG
rnacentral:rRNA from 1 species